rnacentral:rRNA from 1 species
AUGAACGCUAGCGGCAGGCUUAACACCUGCAAGUCGAGGGGCAGCGCGGGAUAGCAAUAUCCUGGCGGCGACCGGCGGAAGGGUGCGUAACGCGUGAGCGACAUGCCCGUUGCCCGGGGACAACCGGUGGAAACGCCGACUAAUCCCCGAUGGGAUAUUGUGCCGCAUGGCACGAUAUUGAAAGUUACGGCGGCGACGGAUUGGCUCGCGUCCGAUUAGCUGGUUGGCGGGGUAACGGCCCACCAAGGCUGCGAUCGGUAGGGGUUCUGAGAGGAAGGCCCCCCACAAUGGGACGGAGACACGGCCCAUACUCCUACGGGAGGCAGCAGUGAGGAAUAUGGGUCAAUGGGCGGAAGCCUGAACCAGCCAUGCCGCGUGCGGGAAGGAGGCCCUAUGGGCUGUGAACCGCUUUUGCCUGGGGGCAAUAAGGGCGUCGCGCACGUCCGAUGAGAGUACCAGGCGAAUAAGCAUCGGCUAACUCCGUG